CCGACGAUAGCUCAGCUGGUAGAGCGGAGGACUGUAGAUGUUGCAGUGAUCCUUAGGUCAGUGGUUCGAAUCCGCCUCGUCGGA
rnacentral:tRNA from 1 species